rnacentral:rRNA from 1 species
AAAAAGUCUGAUCUGCCCUAUGAGGAGUUAAAUGGCCGCGGUAUUUUGACCGUGCAAAGGUAGCAUAAUAAUUAGUUUUUUAAUUGAAAGCUGGAAUGAAUGAUUGGACGAAAAAAUUACUGUCUCAAUUUAAGUUUAUUAGAAUUUUAUUUUUAAGUAAAAAAGCUUAAAUAAUAUUAAAAGACGAGAAGACCCUAUAGAGUUUUAUAAUUAUUAUUUUAUUAAUUCUUAAGAGAUAUUUUAUUAGUAUUUUAAUUAACUAUUUUAUUGGGGCGAUAGAGAAAUUUAAUUAACUUUUUUUGUAUUUAAAUCAUUAAUUUAUGAUUUAUUGAUCCAUUAUUUAUGAUUAUAAGAUUUAGUUACCUUAGGGAUAACAGCGUAAUUUUUUUUUAGAGUUCUUAUCGAUAAAAAAGAUUGCGACCUCGAUGUUGGAUUAAAAUUAAGGCUUGGUGUAGAAGUUAAGCAAUUAGGUC